ensembl:lncRNA novel transcript
AAGCCAACGAGUUCAGCUGAUGCUAGGCUUGCCAUGCACAGUGGCAGGGCACUGACAGUUUCCACAGCUGCUUAGAGUCAGUGAAGGAAGGAGUAUGAAAAAAAAUGGAAGAAGGAACUCCUCUCAUCCUAUUUUAGCUUAUUAAUUCUUGGCAGAUAGUUUGACUUCCCACUUCUGCCUCUGCCUGAGAAUUUCUAAGCUCUGAGCAGUGUCAUUUUUCCUUGACUCUGAUCUUCACAUGGACAGCGAAGGAUCUUAGGGGAUUUGAGCCUCCCUAAAUUAAGUCUUCCAAUGAAUGCAACCACCACAGGAGUCUGAGACAAAACAAGCACUUCAGAAGCACCUGCAAGAGAAUGGAUCCUCACUCAGGACCCACCUCUUCAAUCACAAGUCUGGCCAGCUGGGUAAUGAGUCCAAUAAUUCCAAUGGGGCCUCAUUUGCAAUGGGAAGACCCUGUAAGCCAGAUGUCCAUGGAAAGUGUCAUCUACCUUAUUCCAAACAGUGCCUUAAAUGAAAGACCUUGGAUGCUUCAUAUAACUUAAACUUUAAUGACAAAUCCUCAGUGUAUUCUAAUUAUAGAAGAGAAAUGACAGGCAUGAAAAGACAUGGCCAAGACUGGCAGGAAAAUCAGAGAAGGUCUGGAAAGAAAAGCAGCAGAAAAUGGGCCUAUAUCAAACUAGGCAAAUGGCAAAGCAGCUAUUGGGCAUUUUAGUUUCUGCAAUGAUGUAUAUUUUGAUAUAUUUUGUCUCCCUAAAAUAAAAACUUUGCUGCAGUCUAUAAUAUGCAUACAAAAAAUCCAAGCCCCAUGAGGAUGGGUUUUUAUGUCAGAAAAGGGAAGUGAUUCAAUGAAAACUGUAUCAUAAAUAGAAUUAUGGGAAUAUCUUGCAAGUUAUAAAUGCAAGUAUUAUCAUCAUUAUCCAGAGGGUAUUCAAUCAAUGCCUGCUGAUAAAGAAUUCUUAAGCGUUCACUAAACUUUUAAUGCCUUUCUUGUCACUUAUCACUGACAGAUGCCAUGGGGCAUUUUGUAUAGGAUUUAAUAAAGUCAAUGCUCAUCAAAAAAUCAAUUAAAAUGAAAGCUGCCUGUAGGCCAACUUCUUCCCUAGGUGACAAGGACAGCAUGUUCUCCUGAUACCAACUUUACCUCCAUGUUGAUCAAGCAAUUCUCAGAAGUUGUGGGUAACUCAGGAUAUCCAUGACCACCACACAACACUAGAUAGAUCUUCCAGAGUCCUAAACUAUCUCUCAUACAGCUAGCCGUCCCUCCCCCUUUCCCCAAAACAUAUUGGGAGAGUAAUGACAAUGCUGGUGUUUUAAGGGAAAAAUAAUAUUUUGGGGUUUUUUUAACUGAAGAAUUAUACCCAAACUAUGUAUACAAAUGGCAUCCAGAGGAAACAAUAAAAUACUACAUUCUCAGUCAGAAUGUUCAUUGCUAACAAACAACAAAAAAGUGGAGGAGCUUAGGCAACGCUGGUGUACUGAUGUGAGUGUAAAUCAUCAUUGCAGGUUAUGGGCCCCUCAACUAAUAUUUGUGUAGCACUUGACAUUGACAAAACACUGUUACAUAAUUAUCACAUUUGAAAUCAAAGCAAAUCUAUAAAGUUGCAUUUUACUAUUAUCACUAAUUUAUACACAAUGAAAUGGAAACUGAAAGAGGGUCUAUGACUUAUUCAAGCCUAUGAAGCCAAGCAGAGGCAAAGCUGGGCUCAAACCCAGUCCUUCUGCCUCCAGGUACUCUGCUUCCCUUCUCCAUCCAAGCUGUCUCUGUAGAUUUCCACUGGACUGGAGAAACUGUCAAAU